AUCAACUUGGCGCAGUGGAAGUGUGCAGGGCUCAUAACCCUGGUGUCUCAGGAUCUAGACUUGGAGUUGCUA